rnacentral:rRNA from 1 species
UACGUAGGGUGCAAGCGUUGUCCGGAAUUAUUGGGCGUAAAGACGCUCUGUAGGCGGGUUUGUCGCGUCUGCUGUGAAAACCCGAGGCGUCAACCUCGGCCUGCAGUGGGUACGGGCAGACGUAGAGUGGCGGUAGGGAGAUUGGAAUCCUGGUGUAGCGGUGGAAUGCGCAGAUAAUCAGGAGAACACCAAUGGCGAAGGCAGAUCUCUGGGCCGUAACUGACGCUGAGGAGCGAAAGCAUGGGGAGCGAACAGG